rnacentral:rRNA from 1 species
UACGUAGGGUGCGAGCGUUAAUCGGAAUUACUGGGCGUAAAGCGUGCGCAGGCGGUUUGUUAAGUCCGCUGUGAAAGCCCCGGGCUCAACCUGGGAACCGCGCUUGAGACUGGCGGACUCGAGUUCGGGAGAGGAUGGUGGAAUUCCCAGUGUAGAGGUGAAAUUCGUAGAUAUUGGGAAGAACACCGAUGGCGAAGGCAGCCAUCUGGACCGACACUGACGCUGAGGCGCGAAAGCGUGGGGAGCAAACAGG